GAGAAAUGAGGAUAUCUACUAUGUCUUACUGUUAAGUGAAGACAUCAGAUCCAACUCUGAUCUUGCUGUGUGC